AUUGAACGCUGGCGGCAGGCUUAACACAUGCAAGUCGAGCGGAGAGAGGUAGCUUGCUACUGAUCUUAGCGGCGGACGGGUGAGUAAUACUUAGGAAUCUACCUAUUAGUGGGGGACAACAUCUCGAAAGGGAUGCUAAUACCGCAUACGUCCUAUGGGAGAAAGCAGGGGAUCUUUAUGACCUUGCGCUAAUAGAUGAGCCUAAGUCGGAUUAGCUAGUUGGUGGGGUAAAGGCCUACCAAGGCGACGAUCUGUAGCGGGUCUGAGAGGAUGAUCCGCCACACUGGGACUGAGACACGGCCCAGACUCCUACGGGAGGCAGCAGUGGGGAAUAUUGGACAAUGGGCGCAAGCCUGAUCCAGCCAUGCCGCGUGAGUGAUGAAGGCCUUAGGGUUGUAAAGCUCUUUCAGUUGGGAGGAAGGGCGCUCGGUGAAUACCCAGGCGUCUUGACGUUACCGACAGAAUAAGCACCGGCUAACUUCGUGCCAGCCGCCGCAGUAACAC
rnacentral:rRNA from 1 species